rnacentral:sRNA from 1 species
AGCCUGUCUUAGAGAUGUUUUCUAAAAAGACCACUUAGUUAUUCAACCCCCCACUGCUAAAUUUGACUGGCUUUAA